AGGUCGCCUGACUGGGGUCGCCCACCUCGAGGAAAAGAUCGUCGAGGUCCUAGGUCUCCAGGAAGCACUGGAAAAGGAGGGACAAACCUCAUCCGAUCUGAGGACCGCCUUGGAGGAGGAGAGAAAGAAGGUUGAGGUCGAGGUCUCCGAACUGAAGGUGCAGGUUUUUGAGUUGAAGGUGUAGGUUUUCGAGCUGAAAGCAUGGAUUUCAUCCCUGAUCUCAGAGGCAGGGGCCCG
rnacentral:lncRNA from 1 species